GGCAACAGGAAAUUAGUCAAACAAUACCUUUUGUUGAUGUUGUUAAUAAUCCUGAAAAAGUUGAAUCUUCGGCCAAGAUUUCACUAGACAGGGUGACCUUUUUAGAUUGCCUGGCUGAAUUUUCCUUGAACCAAUGGUGCUAUAAAAGAAGACGAAAAGAAGUGUUUAAUAUUUUUUGCACGGGCAACAGAAAAGUACUGAAAGGUGGCUGUUGCCUGCAUUCACAGUCUGACUUGCCUACUCACGCCUCAGGACUGCAGGAUGAGCAAUUGAGUCAUUUGAUCACUGGCCGCUUGUUCAGUCUUAAUACACAGGCUAACCGGACCCAACACAAGUUCUGACUGCCGGAUCCCAGCGGACUAUUCAAGUAGAGCUGGCUGAUAUAUUAGCUGGAUCGUGUAUGGGUCCUUCACUAGCUUCCUCUUCAGAAUAUUUGGGGGCCCAGAAAUGACUCUAAGGAUAAUCUGAAGAGGAGCCCAUAAGGCUUCGAAAAUGAUUGAAGUAAUAAUGUUUUCUUUACCAUCAUCUUCAGGAAUGUAAUUAAUUUAAAUAAAUCUUAUACAAUUUAUAACAUCUUGUUUUUAUUUCUUUUAUUACUUUACCAUCCAAUAUCUUCAUUUAUCACAAAAUUGUAUUAUAACAAAUCAACAAAGAGAAAAGUAGAAAAGUAAGAAUUAUAAUUAUUAAUUUUUGCUGUUUCAUUCAAUACUAUACAUUUAUAUCAUCCCAGUUAGUAUUUACCCUAAUCUAUAUAACUAUAACAAAAGAAUAAACACAUAAUAUGAAAAAAU